rnacentral:tRNA from 1 species
UGAGAUGUAGCUCAGUGGUAGAACACUUGCUUAGCAUGUAAAAGGGCCUGGAUUUGAUCCCCAGUACCACAA